rnacentral:lncRNA from 1 species
UGCAAAAGGAAAAAAAAAAUAUGGCUAAAACUCUUAUCUUUGUUUAUGCAAUUAUUUUAUUUCUUUUCCUAUUUCUUAUUGCAAAGGAGGUUGACGGUAAUUCAUGUUUUCACCCUUUUCAAAUUACCUUUUUUACUUUUUAGUCCCACACAAUCUUUUAUCUCGUUGUAGUAAUAUAAUUUUAUUUUCUUCUUUCAUUGUAGCACAAAUUAAAAUUAAAUGUGAAACCGAUGAUGAAUGUCCAAAAGUUACCAAUGUGGAUCCUUUAGCUCGCGACAUCCAUCCUUCUAUUUAUAAGUGCAUCGACAACUUAUGCGUACGGUUAUUGUAUGAGUAUUAAACUCCAAAGUGUAUACAAACUGAAGAAUGGGUAUUACAAAAAUUAUUCCUAUUGUAAUCUACAAGAACAAUUUUCUCCGUCACUUUUAGUAAAAAUAAUACUUUGACGCUUUCUAAAAUUUUCCCAUAGAAAAUUAAUUUUUAACAUAACCAUUAUCUAAACUCUUUCGUCUUCAAAAUUUUUCUCAUAUUUUUUCGUCAGUUUCUGAAGUAAAAAUAAAGUCGAAAGUAGUCUCAAGAAACAAAUGAGUUUAAAUUGUGACCCUUUUAAAAAUUAUUUCUUAAACAGAAGAUUUCAUAAUCAAUAUGAUAUGUUGACCGAUAUGAUUCUGAUGUAAGAAAAUUCUUCGAUAGACACAAACACAAAUGACAAUUGUUAGGCACACUCACAAAAUCAUAAAAAUAAUUAAAAGAAAAGAAGUAAAAUAAUGUUAAUUGAUGUGAUUAUUUUAUUUUCUUUUAAACUUUUUGAUUUGUGUUUGUGUGCCCAAAUAUAUUUUAUUUGGAUUUGUGUCUAAGCAAGAAUUGCUCUCUGAUGUAUAUGCAAAUAAGGACAA